rnacentral:rRNA from 1 species
GACGAACGCUGGCGGCGGGCUUAACACAUACAAGUCGAACGAAGUGGCGAACGGGUGAGUAAUACGUGGGUAACCUGCCCCCCUUUUGGGGAUAAGCCUUGGAAACGGGGUCUAAUACCGAAUAACGGGGGAUGGGCUCGGGGCCUAUCAGCUUGUUGGGGGGGUGAUGGCCUACCAAGGCGGUGACGGGUAGCCGGCCUGAGAGGGUGACCGGCCACAUUGGGACUGAGAGACGGCCCAGACUCCUACGGGAGGCAGCAGUGGGGAAUAUUGGACAACGGGCGAAAGCCUGAUCCAGCCAUGCCGCGUGUGUGAAGAAGGUCUUCGGAUUGUAAAGCACUUUAAGUGGGGAGGCGUUACCAACAGAAUAAGCACCGGCUAACUUCGUGCCAGCAGCCGCGGUAAUAC